rnacentral:rRNA from 1 species
UAGGGAAUCUUCGGCCAUGGACGAAAGUCUGACCGAGCAACGCCGCGUGAGUGAAGAAGGUUUUCGGAUCGUAAAACUCUGUUGUUAGAGAAGAACAAGGACGUUAGUAACUGAACGUCCCCUGACGGUAUCUAACCAGAAAGCCACGGCUAACUACUUGCCAGCAGCCGCGGUAAUACGUAGGUGGCAAGCGUUGUCCGGAUUUAUUGUGCGUAAAGCGAGCGCAGGCGGUUUCUUAAGUCUGAUGUGAAAGCCCCCGGCUCAACCGGGGAGGGUCAUUGGAAAGUGGGAGACUUGAGUGCAGAAGAGGAGAGAGGAAUUCCAUGUGUAGCGGUGAAAUGCGUAGAUAUAUGGAGGAACAGCAGUGGCGAAGGCGGCUCUCUGGUCUGUAACUGACGAUGAGGCACGAAAGCGUGGGGAGCAAACAGG